rnacentral:misc_RNA from 1 species
UCUUUGGGUAUUUUGACUAUGUCAAUGUCGUGGGCUGAUUCUGUUUCUGCAGCCGAGAAUCCGGCUGGAGCUCCGUCUAAGUCAGCAUAUGUUCCACCACAUUUGCGAAACAGACCUUCAACUGAUCCUCCUGCACAGGCUUCGUAUGCUGGGGCUGCUGCAUCAUUAGGUAAUGACCAUAGUGGUUAUGGUGUCCCAAAUAUGGUUGGGAGUCGUUGGAGUGG